UCUACAAAGUUGGAGCAAUUACCCUGGGACCUUUGGCUCUAAUUCAGCUCGUUCUUAUCAUUUAUCUAGCCCUCCAUAUGUCAGCCAGAAGCAAGAACUUGACAGAAGAUAGAGAUGAGCUUAAGAGGAAGCUGGAUGAUUUAGUUUUAAAGCAGGAAUCCUGGAGAGCAGAGAGGGACAAUUUGACAAGUAUGAACUCUG